rnacentral:lncRNA from 1 species
AUCUAUUCUGACCCACCCUACUUACUUGAUGCCAGUUGCUCUACUGUGUCUUCUGCCAGCCCAGACUGAGAUGGGCAAACUCCUGCUCCUCCUGCUGCUGGGGGCUUUUGUCCUUGUGUUGAUCCAAGGUGAGAAUGAGUCUUCAAAGGCUGAAGAAGGGGUGAGGUCAGGGGCUCAAGAUAACUGAGAGUAAACUUGGGAUGGUGGCCUGAAUAGCUGGGAUAGUAGUGUGCUGGGAGCAGAGGGAGGUCAAGGUAAGGGUUUUUGCUCUUAUCCAACAAAUAGUAUCAAACUGAACCGGUAACUUGAGAGUUUAGAUAGGUUUUAAGGAGUAAAUAUUUAAAUUUUCAAAGCUGUUCAAAUGUGAGAUGUAGAUUUGAUUUGCGGAGUCACAUUGCCUUAUAUAUUUCCCUCUAGUCUUGCUUAUAUCAGCAGACAAAAAGCAUAUUUUUCUUUAGUUGCUUAAUUUUUAGUAUUUUUUUUUUAGUUUUAAAUUGUGUGUGUGCACAUGCAUGUGCAGUUGUGCACAUGAGAGCAAGUGCCUCCAGUAUACAGAAGACGUUGGAUCCUUUGAAUUUGGAUCCUCUGAAUUUGGAUCCACAGGCAUUUGUGAGUUGCCUGACCUGAGUGCUGAGACUCAAACUCGAGUUCUCUGCAGGAGCAGUACCUGCUGGUAAGCACCGAGACUUCUCUCCAACUCUAUUGAUUCCUUUUUAAAAAGAAGAUUUUAUAUAAAAUAUUUAACAUACCACAACUUUACCUCUUAAAAGUGCAAAAGCAUUUUUAUGAUUAAUGAAAUUCAGAUCUGUGGAUCAAUGACUUGUAUAGUAUUAAAUUUCAAUAAAAGUAAUAUAAGGAUAUUUUAGCUCUAGGUUACUAGAAUGACUUAUUGUGAUGCUUCAUUUCUUAAGUGUUCUUAUCCAUGUUGGUCCUAAUCAAUCAGCCACGGACUCACUCAUCGUAUCUGGUUUUUUUUCCCUAGUUCAAGUAAUAAUAUGAAUGUCCUGCAACAUGUUUGUGAAUGGCAAAUGUAUAGAAGGUGAGGGUAAAUGCACCAUGGAGGAAGGUGGUGCAUGCAGAACUGGAGAUAUCUAUCAUUUCAAUCCAAGAGGUAAUGCUAACAGGGAAUCAUCCAGGGAGUCUUGUAAGGAAGUGGUGUUUCUUGUGGAAGAGCAGGCUUGUGUGAAUACCAAAGACUUUCAUACAUUCAAUUUCAAAUAUUAUUUUCUUAACACUAAAUAUCAAUGUUCUUUUCUAGGUGGGUUUCUCUACAACCAUACUAUACUGGAAUGUUCUAAAUCAUGAAAGGCUUCAGAAGAGAGUUAUUUUCAUCUGAAAAUUUCAACCUUUUGUUGCAAAAGUCAAGAUUUCUGCAAUAAAUAUAAAGGAAAGUGAAUGCAUAUGCUAAUUUAUUACCAGUUCCUUCAUCUGUUUCAGUUUCCCUGGUGUGCCUGCUGGAUCCCCCUCCAUACAUGCUCUGCUGAAGAUGAAGCAAGUCUUUGUUGUUUUUGUUGUUGUUGUUGUUGUUUUGUUUUGUUUCUUUUUGUUUUAUUAAUCAUUUUAUUCAUUUACAUUUCAAAUUAUUUCUCUCUUCACAGAGGAAGCAACUCAUAUAACCUCUAUGCAUCCUUCUUUCCUCUGUCUUGGAUGCUGACUCCUUCCUACCCAACAUCAGAUACCAAACAUUCUCCAUUCAUCUUCAUUUCCUGCCUUUCUUCAUUUAUAUGUGAAAAUCAUCACCAAUCUUGCUUGUCUUGCAUUUAUCUCUCCCUCACAAUCACUAAGUUGCUCUGGCUGACGAGCUACCAGGCUUCUAAUUUAAACAUUAUUUCAAUGAGCCAAAUAUUACAAAAAUCUUAUAUUCCUAAUAGACAGUGUUCUCUGCUUUUUUUGGUGUGUUAAUUCCUAUUAUUCUGAAUCAUUCAUUCUUGUUUCUUCAAAAAGUAGGAAUUCAAAUGUGAAGAAUAUCAUUAGUAUGUUUCAAAACAGCAUACAAUUAUAUAUUUCUCAUGAAUAAUUUUAAAGAAGGGGAAAUUUUAUGUUUCUGUAAAGAAUGUUAAAAAUAAAUUCAUUUUGCUUGAC